rnacentral:rRNA from 1 species
AAUCAACGCUGGCGGCGUGCCUCGGACAUGCAAGUCGAACGAGAAGGCUCCUUCGGGAGCCGGAAAGUGGCGCACGGGUGAGUAACACGUGGGUAAUUUACCUUCGGGUGGGGAACGAACAGCCGGAAACGGCUGCUAAUACCGCAUAACGUAGCGGCACCUAAUGGUGACAGUUGUUAAAGCGGGGGAGUCGCAAGACCUCGCGCCUGAAGAGAAGCCUGCGGCAGAUUAGGUAGUUGGUGAGGUAAUGGCUCACCAAGCCCGCGAUCUGUAGCCGGCCUGAGAGGGCGGUCGGCCACACUGACACUGAACAACGGGUCAGACUCCUACGGGAGGCAGCAGUCGGG